rnacentral:rRNA from 1 species
AUUGAACGCUGGUGGCAGGCCUAACACAUGCAAGUCGAACGGUAACAGGAAGCAGCUUGCUGCUUCGCUGACGAGUGGCGGACGGGUGAGUAAUGUCUGGGAAGCUGCCUGAUGGAGGGGGAUAACUACUGGAAACGGUAGCUAAUACCGCAUAAUGUCGCAAGACCAAAGAGGGGGACCUUCGGGCCUCUUGCCAUCUGAUGUGCCCAGAUGGGAUUAGCUUGUUGGUGGGGUAACGGCUCACCAAGGCGACGAUCCCUAGCUGGUCUGAGAGGAUGACCAGCCACACUGGGACUGAGACACGGUCCAGACUCCUACGGGAGGCAGCAGUGGGGAAUAUUGCACAAUGGGCGCAAGCCUGAUGCAGCCAUGCCGCGUGUAUGAAGAAGGCCUUCGGGUUGUAAAGUACUUUCAGCGGGGAGGAAGGGAGUAAAGUUAAUACCUUUGCUCAUUGACGUUACCCGCAGAAGAAGCACCGGCUAACUCCGUG